rnacentral:lncRNA from 1 species
GCGUUGAAUUCGAGCGUGGCGUGAAUUCAACCUUUAAUUUAUUUGGAGAACAAUUUCAUUUCAAAAAUAUCUUGUCAUGGCAUUGACUUGCAUUUGGUCAAUGGUGUCACACGAGGUUUGUGGUUGCAAUUUUUUUUAAAAAGUUACGAUUUUGAAUUCAGGGCGAGAAAAGGAAAGAUGUUUGAUUUGUAUUGACCUAACCUUUACAUGCACACAUAUAUUCAAAAAAAAGUUUGAAGGCUCGUAUUUUUGUAAUACAUAAAAACCCGCUAUGUUACAGUUUUGAUAGCAAGAUAUCAUUAGAAUCAUCUCAGAUUAUCUUAAACACCC